rnacentral:rRNA from 1 species
AGUUUGAUCCUGGCUCAGGAUGAACGCUGGCGGCGUGCUUAACACAUGCAAGUCGAACGAAGCGCUACCGACGGAACUUUUCGGAGGGAAGAUGGUAAUGACUGAGUGGCGGACGGGUGAGUAACGCGUGGGUAACCUGCCUCACAGAGGGGGACAACAGCCGGAAACGGCUGCUAAUACCGCAUAACAAGGGAUCUCCGCAUGAAGGUUCCUUCAAAGAUUUAUCGCUGUGAGAUGGACCCGCGUCUGAUUAGCUAGUUGGCAGGGUAACGGCCUACCAAGGCGACGAUCAGUAGCCGGCUUGAGAGAGUGAACGGCCACAUUGGGACUGAGACACGGCCCAGACUCCUACGGGAGGCAGCAGUGGGGAAUAUUGCACAAUGGGGGAAACCCUGAUGCAGCGACGCCGCGUGAGUGAAGAAGUAUUUCGGUAUAUAAAGCUCUAUCAGCAGGGAAGAUAAUGACGGUACCUGACUAAGAAGCCCCGGCUAACUACGUG